rnacentral:miRNA from 1 species
CCUACCGGGUUCAGUGUCAUACU